GAUGAAGAACGUAGCGAAAUGCGAUAAGUAAUGUGAAUUGCAGAAUUCAGUGAAUCAUCGAAUCUUUGAACGCAUCUUGCGCUCCUUGGUAUUCCGAGGAGCAUGCCUGUUUGAGUGUCAUUAAAGUUCUCAACCACAUUACUACAUAUGUGGCUUGGAUGUGGGGGUUUGCAGGCUUUCUCUGAGGGUCUGCUCCUCUGAAAUGCAUUAGUGGUAUUCCUGAGCUUUACUACAGAUGUGAUAAUUUAUCUACAUCCCAAAAGUAUGCUUUAGCAACACCGCUCCUAACAAGCGAAAGCACAUUUUGAUGAAUUUGACCUCAAAUCAGGUAGGACUACCCGCUGAACUUAAGCAUAUCAAUAAGCGGAGGA
rnacentral:misc_RNA from 1 species